GCGCCCGUAGCUCAACUGGAUAGAGCAAGGCACUCCUAAGGCCGAGGUUGCCAGUUCGAUUCUGGCCGGGCGCA
rnacentral:tRNA from 1 species